UUCAAUUAGGAAGGGUCUCCAACGCAACGACAAUGUACAACAAGUUACAAUGUACGUUCUUGCAUUGGCUUGUACGCAUUUAUCCCAAUGCCAGAUACGGACAGGAAUUGUAAAUUGAGAAGGGUUGUGCAUCCUUAACGGACUCAAUAGCCCUUAACCAGGGCAUGUGCGACUACGGUGGUUUUAGCUGGAGACCGAAGCUACGGAGCUUGUUAGGCCAUAAUCGAUCGUGUUACACCGUUUCAAGUCAUUCCUGGCGUCCCAUACUUGGGCAGUCUUGUGCAUCUCUACUUUGCGACCGUAAGGUGAAAUUUUAUUAAAGGCCUUGUUUUUUGGAAUGCCCUUUGGGCUUAUUGGCAUGGUAAGUCGCUGGUUCAUUCCCCAAACCUAUAUCUCCGCAGCCCUGCUGGUUUAAUUGUUUGCAGGCUGAUAGGUCCUUAAUCAUUUCCUUAUGUUGCAGGGUAAUAUGUCCUUGGAUGGCAAGUGUCAGGGAGUCGCUCUCUUGGCGGUAAUUAUGUCGUAAUUUGUAAAGUUGUAAAGGGACUGGUAUAGCCGUUUGCCAUUAAUUAUGCUGUUAGUCCCGAACUUAAAUGGGCUGGGAUUUAUGUAGGGAAAGGCGUAACACGCGCUUGUGCCCCUUCGGGUCCUUCGGAAACAGAAUAUUAUUACUCAUGCGAGGAAGCGCAACUGCUCUGACCCGCUCUUGCUAGUUUCCAAAGCAAUAGAAAUCAUGGUGAAGAUGCCUUAAUAUCACUUUACGGAACUUCCUACAGCUUCCUCUUUGCACUGCCAUGCUCCUUCACUUCACAUUUUCAUCGACCUGCUAGGUGCAUGCAUACCGCGCUACAGUUCCUUAAUUGAAUCGUAGCGGUAGCUGGCCAAUAAGAAAACACGAAGCUGAGUCUCGUACAGUUGUCAACUGCUAUAUACCACGGCCGUACCGAUCUUAACAGCGACUGCAAACAGACGGAGCCCUUCCUGGACGAAGGAAUGAAGGGAUGAAUGAAGGGGACAUCCAUCCCUGGAGAGCCGCUUCAUCUUAGCUUAAGGUUUCUGCGUACGUGGGAUGUGGAAUGUAGAGUGUGUUAGGAGGGAUACGAUCAUCAACAGAGAAUGUUGGAGGCCGUGAAAUGGGAGCCAGCACGUCUGGCGAGGAUGUUGGAGCAUAUGUGGGCUCACCGCAACUCAGUUAUCCUCUUUGGACGCUAGUCUGGGCUGAUAGUGCGGUGUUUCCUUUUCUCCGUGGCUUAUAGACGUAAAGGUAUUGCCCUUGGGCCUUCGGCUCAUGCACCCCCAACCAUGUAACACACACACACACACACACACACACACACACACACACACACACACACACACACACAUACACACACAGGCGGUCCGAAACAAGCUAAAUUACAACCGUUCGGAAGCUUGCGAACACAAAUAAAACGGGUAACACGCCAAUAGUUGGCACAACACGCCAAUGGCAUUGACAAGGAGGCAUCGGAAAAAAAUGUGCUGCCGCUGCAUUAGCCUCCAGCGCGCCUAUUUGCAGGUGCCCCAUGCAGCGCACGGCGCUCUAAGACCGGGAAUGGCGGGGAAUGACGGCAGGGCAGGUUUGAAGUACUGGGGGGCCCCAUGGCAGGACAGGAACUGGAGACGGUGAUACAAAGUAAUUUUACUUGUACAGCUUGUUGCUGUGCUGUUGCUUGUGGGAGCUUGGCAUCGAACAGCGCCUUGGGCUGCG
rnacentral:lncRNA from 1 species